rnacentral:tRNA from 1 species
AUUAGCUCAGUUGGUAGAGCACCUGACUUUUAAUCAGGGGGUCGCAGGUUCGAAUCCUGCAUG